ACGAACGCUGGCGGCAGGCUUAACACAUGCAAGUCGAACGCACCGCAAGGUGAGUGGCAGACGGGUGAGUAACGCGUGGGAACCUACCCAAUUCUACGGAACAACACAGGGAAACUUGUGCUAAUACCGUAUACGCCCUACGGGGGAAAGAUUUAUCGGAAUUGGAUGGGCCCGCGUUGGAUUAGCUAGUUGGUGGGGUAAUGGCCUACCAAGGCGACGAUCCAUAGCUGGUCUGAGAGGAUGAUCAGCCACACUGGGACUGAGACACGGCCCAGACUCCUACGGGAGGCAGCAGUGGGGAAUAUUGGACAAUGGGCGAAAGCCUGAUCCAGCUAUGCCGCGUGAGUGAUGAAGGCCUUAGGGUUGUAAAGCUCUUUCAGUGGGGACGAUAAUGACGGUACCCACAGAAGAAGCCCCGGCUAACUUCGU
rnacentral:rRNA from 1 species